UACGUAGGGGGCAAGCGUUGUCCGGAAUCAUUGGGCGUAAAGAGCGCGUAGGCGGCCCAGUAAGUCCGCUCUGAAAGUCAGGGGCUCAACCCCUGGAUGCGGGUGGAUACUGCUGGGCUAGAGUCCGGAAGAGGCGAGUGGAAUUCCUGGUGUAGCGGUGAAAUGCGCAGAUAUCAGGAGGAACACCGGUGGCGAAGGCGGAUCUCUGGGCCAUUACUGACGCUGAGGAGCGAAAGCGUGGGGAGCGAACAGG
rnacentral:rRNA from 1 species